GACGAACGCUGGCGGCGUGCUUAACACAUGCAAGUCGAACGGAAAGGCCCUGCUUUUGUGGGGUGCUCGAGUGGCGAACGGGUGAGUAACACGUGAGUAACCUGCCCUUGACUUUGGGAUAACUUCAGGAAACUGGGGCUAAUACCGGAUAGGAGCUCCUGCUGCAUGGUGGGGGUUGGAAAGUUUCGGCGGUUGGGGAUGGACUCGCGGCUUAUCAGCUUGUUGGUGGGGUAGUGGCUUACCAAGGCUUUGACGGGUAGCCGGCCUGAGAGGGUGACCGGCCACAUUGGGACUGAGAUACGGCCCAGACUCCUACGGGGGGCAGCAGUGGGGAAUAUUGCACAAUGGGCGGAAGCCUGAUGCAGCAACGCCGCGUGCGGGAUGACGGCCUUCGGGUUGUAAACCGCUUUCGCCUGUGACGAAGCGUGAGUGACGGUAAUGGGUAAAGAAGCACCGGCUAACUACGUGCCAGCAGCCGCGGUGAUACGUAGGGUGCGAGCGUUGUCCGGAUUUAUUGGGCGUAAAGGGCUCGUAGGUGGUUGAUCGCGUCGGAAGUGUAAUCUUGGGGCUUAACCCUGAGCGUGCUUUCGAUACGGGUUGACUUGAGGAAGGUAGGGGAGAAUGGAAUUCCUGGUGGAGCGGUGGAAUGCGCAGAUAUCAGGAGGAACACCAGUGGCGAAGGCGGUUCUCUGGGCCUUUCCUGACGCUGAGGAGCGAAAGCGUGGGGAGCGAACAGGCUUAGAUACCCUGGUAGUCCACGCUGUAAACGGUGGGUACUAGGUGUGGGGUCCAUUCCACGGGUUCCGUGCCGUAGCUAACGCUUUAAGUACCCCGCCUGGGGAGUACGGCCGCAAGGCUAAAACUCAAAGGAAUUGGCGGGGCCCCGCACAAGCGGCGGAGCAUGCGGAUUAAUUCGAUGCAACGCGUAGAACCUUACCUGGGUUUGACAUGGAUCGGGAGUGCUCAGAGAUGGGUGUGCCUCUUUUGGGGUCGGUUCACAGGUGGUGCAUGCCUGUCGUCAGCUCGUGUCGUGAGAUGUUGGGUUAAGUCCCGCAACGAGCGCAACCCUUGUUCACUGUUGCCAGCACGUUAUGGUGGGGACUCAGUGGAGACCGCCGGGGUCAACUCGGAGGAAGGUGGGGAUGACGUCAAGUCCUCAUGCCCCUUAUGUCCAGGGCUUCACGCAUGCUACAAUGGCUGGUACAGAGAGUGGCGAGCCUGUGAGGGUGAGCGAAUCUCGGAAAGCCGGUCUCAGUUCGGAUUGGGGUCUGCAACUCGACCUCAUGAAGUCGGAGUCGCUAGUAAUCGCAGAUCAGCAACGCUGCGGUGAAUACGUUCCCGGGGCU
rnacentral:rRNA from 1 species